CAAUCCAUACUAGUCUUUCUAU
rnacentral:miRNA from 1 species